AUUGAACGCUGGCGGCAGGCCUAACACAUGCAAGUCGAACGGUAACAGGAAGCAGCUUGCUGCUUCGCUGACGAGUGGCGGACGGGUGAGUAAUGUCUGGGAAGCUGCCUGAUGGAGGGGGAUAACUACUGGAAACGGUAGCUAAUACCGCAUAAUGUCGCAAGACCAAAGAGGGGGACCUUCGGGCCUCUUGCCAUCGGAUGUGCCCAGAUGGGAUUAGCUUGUUGGUGGGGUAACGGCUCACCAAGGCGACGAUCCCUAGCUGGUCUGAGAGGAUGACCAGCCACACUGGAACUGAGACACGGUCCAGACUCCUACGGGAGGCAGCAGUGGGGAAUAUUGCACAAUGGGCGCAAGCCUGAUGCAGCCAUGCCGCGUGUAUGAAGAAGGCUUUCGGGUUGUAAAGUACUUUCAGCGGGGAGGAAGGGAGUAAAGUUAAUACCUUUGCUCAUUGACGUUACCCGCAGAAGAAGCACCGGCUAACUCCGUG
rnacentral:rRNA from 1 species